UAGGUGAGGUCAUAGUCAGGCGUGGUCAUAUUCGGGCGUGGUCAUAGUCGGGUGUGGCCAUAGUUAGGUGAGGUCAUAGUCAGGCGUGGUCAUAUUCGGGCGUGGUCAUAGUCGGGUGUGGUCAUAGUUAGGUGAGGUCAUAGUCAGGCGUGGUCAUAUUCGGGCGUGGUCAUAGUCGGGUGUGGCCAUAGUUAGGUGAGGUCAUAGUCAGGCGUGGUCAUAUUCGGGCGUGGUCAUAGUCGGGUGUGGUCAUAGUUAGGUGAGGUCAUAGUCAGGCGUGGUCAUAUUCGGGCGUGGUCAUAGUCGGGUGUGGCCAUAGUUAGGUGAGGUCAUAGUCAGCGUGGUCAUAUUCGGGCGUGGUCAUAGUCGGGUGGGGUCAUAGUUAGGUGUGGUCAUAGUCGAGCGUUGGUCAUAUUCGGGCGUGGUCAUAGUCGGGUGUGUUCAUAGUUAGGUGAGGUCAUAGUCAGGCGUGGUCAUAUUCGGGCGUGGUCAUAGUCGGGUGUGGUCAUAGUUAGGUGAGGUCAUAGUCAGGCGUGGUCAUAUUCGGGCGUGGU